rnacentral:lncRNA from 1 species
ACUGUUCAGACUUGACUCGUGAUUGGCUGCUGCGCUUCAGCGUGUUAUUACUGUCUGAUUUGAUCGGAGGCAGGGGGUGGUCUCCAAUCAAACAGAGAAAAGGUCCUGGAGAAGAUCUAUGAGCUAGAAGACAGCUGGGACAGCAAAUUCUUGACUCGCUUAUCAUCAUGUUCCCUUUCCAUGGUCAGCCCAGACUCUGGGCUCCAUCACAACACACUAGUCUGUUCAGCAUGGAGUACCUUUUUUGCCUCUUCUAGUCCAGCCAUCCAGGCAAAUCAAUCAAUACACUAAGUGGCAAUUCAUAAGUGACCCAUCGUGUCAAGCUGGAGAGCAGGAGGGACACCCAGCUUUUUAAAGCGAGCUUAUCAAUCACUGUAUCCCGAAUAAGCAUCUUCAUCCCAGCUACAGAAAAUAGAAGGCUGUAGAAAAGAACAGGAGGCUAGCCAUGCUUUCAACCUUAUUUUAAAGUAAUUAUAUGAAAAAAGUCUGUGUUUAUAAACUAAUAAAUUAUACACUUUUAAAAUGUUU